rnacentral:rRNA from 1 species
UUAAAUAUGCCAUAUCACUCUGGAGCCCAAAACCGGUUACUCUCUGAAGCUAAGCAGAGCUGAGCCUGGUCAGUACCUGGAUGGGAAACCAUAUGGGAAAACUAGGUUGCUGUCGAAA